rnacentral:rRNA from 1 species
GAUGAACGCUGGCGGCGUGCCUAAUACAUGCAAGUCGAGCGAACGGACGAGAAGCUUGCUUUUCUGAUGUUAGCGGCGGACGGGUGAGUAACACGUGGAUAACCUACCUAUAAGACUGGGAUAACUUCGGGAAACCGGAGCUAAUACCGGAUAAUAUUUUGAACCGCAUGGUUCAAAAGUGAAAGACGGUCUUGCUGUCACUUAUAGAUGGAUCCGCGCUGCAUUAGCUAGUUGGUAAGGUAACGGCUUACCAAGGCAACGAUGCAUAGCCGACCUGAGAGGGUGAUCGGCCACACUGGAACUGAGACACGGUCCAGACUCCUACGGGAGGCAGCAGUAGGGAAUCUUCCGCAAUGGGCGAAAGCCUGACGGAGCAACGCCGCGUGAGUGAUGAAGGUCUUCGGAUCGUAAUACUCUGUUAUUAGGGAAGAACAUAUGUGUAAGUAACUGUGCACAUCUUGACGGUACCUAAUCAGAAAGCCACGGCUAACUACGU